rnacentral:misc_RNA from 1 species
UCAAACUUGGUCAUUUAGAGGAAGUAAAAGUCGUAACAAGGUUUCCGUAGGUGAACCUGCGGAAGGAUCAUCAUUGAUUCUAAAAGGAUGUGCUGGCUUUAUUGCAUGUGCACUCCGAUUUACCUUUAACCCCUUUGUGCACCGUUUCGUAGACAUUAAGAAAGAGUGACUUGGUAGCAAUACUUGAGGAUCUCAAGUACUUUUGUUUAUGAUUUUACUAUACUCUAUAAGCUUGUAAAAGAAUGUUCAAUUAGACUUUUUUCAAAGUCGAAUUAUAAAACAACUUUCAACAACGGAUCUCUUGGUUCUCGCAUCGAUGAAGAACGCAGC